UGGAAAAGGAUGUGGGAUUUCGAAGACAGCUAGGAUGUUGGCUUAGAAGCAGCCACACAUUCAAAGAGUGCGUAAUAGCUCACUAGUCGAGAGGUCUUGCGCCGAAAAUGUCCGGGGCUAAAACACAACACCGAAGCUUAGGAAUGUAGCAAUACAUUGGUAGAGGAGCAUUUUUAUAGGCGUAGAAGCUGUACCGAUAAGGAGCAGUGGAGUAAUAAAAAGAGAGAAUGCCGGAAUGAGUAGCGAGAUGAAGGUGAGAAUCCUUCAGGCCGAAUAUCUAAGGUUUCCAGAGUAAAGCUGAUCUGCUCUGGGUAAGUCGGGACCUAAGGCAAGGUCGAAAGACGUAGUCGAUGGACAACAGGUUUAGAUUCCUGUACCGCUUAUUAUCAGAAAUGUGGGGACACAGAGACGUAUCCAAACCCAGGAAUGCAAAGACUGGGGCAAGCCAAGUACUGGUAUGGCAGGAAAAUCCGCCAUGCAACAGGAAUAGGUGAUGCGGACCGAAAUCAAGUAGGGAAGUUGGAGAAGGAGCUGUCAAGAAAAGCCGCUAUUGUAUAAUAAGUGCCCGUACCGUAAACCGACACAGGUGGAUGAGGAGAGAAUCCUAAGGCCGGCGGGAGAAGCAUUGUUAAGGAACUCGGCAAAAUGACCCCGUAACUUCGGGAGAAGGGGUGCCACUGGAAACAGUGGUCGCAGAAAAAAGGCUCAAGCAACUGUUUAGCAAAAACACAGGUCUAUGCGAAACCGUAAGGUGAGGUAUAUGGGCUGACGCCUGCCCGGUGCUGGAAGGUUAAGAGGAGAGGUUAGCGCAAGCGAAGCUUUGAAUUGAAGCCCCAGUAAACGGCGGCCGUAACUAUAACGGUCCUAAGGUAGCGAAAUUCCUUGUCGGGUAAGUUCCGACCCGCACGAAAGGCGUAAUGAUUUGAGCGCUGUCUCAACAAUGCACCCGGUGAAAUUGAAGUACCAGUGAAGAUGCUGGUUACCUGCGCCAGGACGGAAAGACCCCAUGGAGCUUUACUCUAGUUUGAUACUGGGAUUCGAUUAUACCUGUACAGGAUAGGUGGGAGGCGAAGAAGCAAGGACGCCAGUCUUUGCAGAGCCGCUGUUGGGAUACCACCCUUGUAUGAUUGGAUUUCUAACCUGCGCCCGUGAUCCGGGUGGGGGACACUGUCAGAUGGGGAGUUUGACUGGGGCGGUCGCCUCCGAAAGGGUAUCGGAGGCGCUCAAAGGUUCCCUCAGAAUGGUCGGAAACCAUUCAAAGAGUGCAAAGGCAGAAGGGAG
rnacentral:rRNA from 1 species